GUGGAGGGGGCCAGAACUUUGGUGAAGAAGAGAGAGUAAAGGAGAGGAGAGGACGAAGAGGAGGAGGAGGCGGCGGCGGUGCCUACUUUACCCGCAACCACCCGUCCGACGCUUCAGCGCCACCCGCCACGACGGUGGCACCGGCAGCCCGACGCCGCCGGUCGUCUCCUGGCGGCGGCCGACCUCGAGGAAGGAGGAGGUGGCGCUUCGUUGGAGAAAGGGGGUGCUUCCUUACGGUGGCGCAGGCUGGAGUUGUCGGCUGGCUUUGGGAUCGCUCGGGGUGGGUACUGCGGGAUGGGAUCCUCCCACCAUGUCGCCGGUCUCCUCUCGUCUCCUCUCUUCUCCACUCCUCCACCUCGUCGGUCGCGGACCUGCACUCUCUUUCUUGUAACUCCGCGCCUUUCCAGAUAAGGGUUUAAAGACAUGGUCUCGUGUAAGAUUCUGGAAGAAUACACCCACGUUUGUAUGACGUUCUUGAUGGACAGCACGCGGUUUAUGUGUUACGCCUUCCAUGGCGACCCUACUCUCGACGAACGUUUGAACGAAGGGGACAUGACUUGAAACGUCCUUGUAACCAAUUCGGUAGUUAAUGAUGUUUACUUUAGCUGUCCCGUCACGUAGUAUACUAUCAACUCCGCCCACGAAUAGGAAGAGGUGAACCGAUACCGCCUAAAGGAUUUUCAUAGACGUGUAGUCAUUUACUCACACGGACGGUGCCUGAUGGACUAAGUUGUGUCGACGUCUUACCUCUGUAGUAUUUAUAACUACAUUUACACAAGGAUUUACAUUCAAGAGAGAGGAUUCUAACACGUAUACGAAUCCACCAUACAAACCGUAUCUCAGCCUAAAACGACUGUUUAACGAACGUUCCGACUAUCCAAAUAACUAUACGGAGUAUACGUUCGAGGAUUGGGUGACAUUUUCAACAGACAACACCUCUACUGACCCAAGGUACCGAUUGUAUUGUGUAAAAUGGACAAUACAUGAAGUAGACCGACCUAUCGUUUAACGUAAAAUUACGACUAAGUUACGAAUAGUAAUUCAUAAAGAAUACCUCUUUCUUUCGUCUCAUACGGUAAAGUCGCGUGAUGCUAGUGUGGACACAGACCCUCCUUCAAGAAGUCUUGUUCACGAAUUUGUUCAUGUUAGUGUGACGAUAGCUGUCCUUUAAAAUGAAAAUAGUCAGACUCCCGGAUACUUCAAAUUACGGAGACCGGUUCUAGGACAAGAUGGCUCAAUACAUGGGCUUCCAAGAAAGUACGGAAACCAAGUUACUCCAGUUGGCAAAGUGGAGUGCAAUAUGUAGCUCAAAAUGUAUGUGAACGAACUUCGAGUACUCUUACUUACGACCUUCUAUAAAAGUGGAUUUAUACAAAUUCCUGGCACUUUCUUCUCGUUAUGGAUUUGACAAGGUAGUGGUUUGAUUUCUUUGAUGUCUAGGUGGGGGCUGUUUGGAAGCAUGCCUAUUUUUAGUAAGUAGCUACGGUUAGAUUCUGACGGUAACUCCUUAACUCCCGCCCCUAUGAGAUAAGUAAAACUACGUACAUGGUACGUAGGUCAGACACCACCCCCACCUCGUUGCUCCGAGCUCUUGGGUCCGUCGCCUGCGGAGUACUGAACCUCCUCGCUGCUAUGCCUGUUCCUCGUCAUCGGAGUACCUAGAUGUCCCUUCGCAGUAGCUCCCUACCGACUACAGUUCCGUGUGUAUCGAGGCCGACGGCGCCUAUCCGUCAUGAGUUGCCUACUAUAGGAGGACUGAGACUGACUUGGGACAAAGCACGUUUGUACGAGACAUAAAAAAAAACCAUCCUUGUAAUUCGAGAUUUCUGUAUUAAUAAGUCUGACGUUCUAAAAAUGGCUUUUUCCCAAAGGGCGGCGAAACAUAAGGUUUCGUUUGGUAGUAACUGUGUAGCGUUACGACCCCGCUCGUCGUGUAGUUCGGGUUUCUUUUUCUUCUUCUUUCCUUCUUUUUUUGAUUUUUGCCGUUUCUAUGUCCUAUGGUUUCCUCGGUGAUUGUUCUGAGCUUAUGUGGUUCGUGUUCGAACUUGUAGCUUCGGGAGCCGCUUGUCCUCGGUUGUGUGCGGCGCCGACUCGGUUCCAUCUAGGGCGACGUCCUCCUAACAGUGCGAGACAGUAGGGGGAACCCGGUUCGGUAGGCCAGGCGGUAAGCAGAGAUGGAGGCUUCUCUCGGGGGACGGGAGAUCAGGACCUAGCCUCCUGUGAUGUGGCAGCUGUCCGUCUCAGCGAGUGGGGACUCGAGCGUACUGGUCCUGGUUGUCCAACGGCCCUCCCCUACUGUUUGUGUUGCUGGCGUGGUCCGUCGGCGUGGUGGCUCGUAGCGGUUGCGGCGCGCGGCCGCGGUUGUAGUUGGCGUUCACCGGCUCGUACCUGUGGUGACUGCUAUAGGCCGUCGGUGGAGGGUACGGUUCCGGAGCUGGUGGUGAGGCAGCGUGGUUCCACCACAGAAGUUCUUCUUUUUGCUACGGCCUCGCGGCAGUGGUGGGUUAGGCCUCUAAACCCCGAAAGUGGGCCCUGCUCCUUCCCUCCCCGCUCCCCCCCUAACACUUUGGCGGAAGUUCUUCCCCUUGCUGCGGCCUCGCGGCGGCCGUAGCACCGGCGUCUCUUGUCGGUUCCCCAAAGGGGGUUAGGUAGGGGGCUCUCCUUCGUGGUAGCGGUCUAGACGAGGGUCCCGUUUGCCCCUUCGGGGUCCUCGGUCGGUGCGAGCGGCGGCUAGGCGGCGGGUGCGCCGGUCCUAGCCGCGUGGGGCGUAGACGUAGUCGGUGGGCGGCUUCCCCCCGGCUGCGCGAGGUGGUCACCAGCGGCGGUGGUGCGGUCCGCGGUGGCGCGUCUCGUCUCGUGUGGUUCGGGUUGUGCGGCGGCGGUCCGUGGCCGGGGCGGUGGCAACAGGCGGCGGCGCGGCAGUGCGGGAGCCGGUCGCGGUGCGGCGGCGGGCGNNNNNNNNNNNNNNNNNNNNNNNNNNNNNNNNNNNNNNNNNNNNNNNNNNNNNNNNNNNNNNNNNNNNNNNNNNNNNNNNNNNNNNNNNNNNNNNNNNNNNNNNNNNNNNNNNNNNNNNNNNNNNNNNNNNNNNNNNNNNNNNNNNNNNNNNNNNNNNNNNNNNNNNNNNNNNNNNNNNNNNNNNNNNNNNNNNNCCCCAGCUGACGUUCUAAAAACGAAACCCAAAGUCUUUUUGACAUGUCUGGACGAACGACAUCAUAGGCACAAUACAUGAACCACAGUUUAUGUUUCAAGUUUAUAGUAAACUAUGUUCCUUGUCCAUAGGCUUAAAAUAUUUUCAUCUAUAUCGUUUGUAAUCCGAACUAACGUAAUUAUUAAAUAUAUCAACGUCUACUUGAAUGAAGACCAUGAUUAGGAAACUACGAAAAGAAAAAUAAAAGUGGUCAUGUUCUAAUUCGAACUGUCACUUUAGAACCUAUCAUACAUUGUGGGAAAGACGUAUAAAUCUUAGACAUACGUUUGAGUGUGGUCCACGGUCUACGUAGUAUCAAUUAUUUUUUUGAAGACGACAUUACCUCCAUGACGAGAAAUCAUCAAACGAAUUAAACUAAAAUAGUGGAGUUCACAAAAUGUGUUUUAAACUUGAUACACGUAGAUGACCACUCAGGAACCCGGAGCGAGAUAGAGUCAAAAGUUCUACCUUCUUACAGAAUUUCAAAGUUGAUGAUAAAUGAUUAACAUCCAAGGAAACUUCUAAGGCGGAUUAGAAAUCUUUGUCUUUUAAUCUUCAUAUAUAACAGGCGAUCUACGUUCGUAUUCAUCGAAUUUUGACUUUGCGGCCGUAGAGCCUGGAGGAGGUACCAAACGGUCCGAUGGUUCUAGUUAUUACAUCGCCGUACUCCUCCCUUAAACUAGUUCCGUAUUCAUCCAUUUAUGGGGAUCGAUAAAAGAAAUAAUAUAAAACGGGAAGAGAGUGAAAUAAGAUAAGAUGGAAAAUCACUAACAUAUUAAUUUUAUAAGUUAUUUGUAUGUAAAUGAAUACGAAGCCUCCUAUUCUGAAGAUAUUUAUGUGGGUGGGUACGGAUUCUAAAAUCGUUUAUUUAGAACCGAGUAAUUUAAAACAAAAAUUACUUUCCUUGUUAAAGAAGUUACUGUUUGAUGUAGAAAAAGAAACAAUCCGACAUCUUUUCUAUCCACUAUAAUUUACAAAGGAGUGUUUAUAGGAGAGAUUAGCUGCUCUUAUUAACUCCUACAUUGCUACACUUGUAACCAACAAAUAGCUGUGCCAUGAUUAUAACGGAAUUACGUGUUAUUUAACUUUAUAGGAGGAGACUCAUAUACGGAGAUGUUUUCCUACGGAUUACUUAAGUUACCAAACGGAGUAAAAAUGUUUUUAAACCUGGUAAGAUCGAGUGACUCUAUCAAAGAUUAAAUCAAACAACUAAUAUAAAAUAAUGAUUCAAAAUGACCCGACACAGGAGUACCUAAAGUUCAAAGCAACCUCUAUACAGUAGACGGUUACAAUCUUCUUGUCCACGAAGGUAUCUUUUUCCAGAAGCAAAGCUAAGGAAGGGAAACUUCCUUUGAGGUUUAGCUCAGCAGGCACUGUACGCAUCCGAACGAUUUUCGACUGAGUACAGAAUCUCUAAAAAUCAUCACUUAAAUUCACGUACCAAUGACUAUACCGAUACCUUACGUGCCCAACAUGUUGUUGAUUCAAACAUCUCACUUAAGUACACGAGUAUUUCCUUCACCACUUUUUGUUAUAGUAUACCUAUGUAGAAUUCUCCACGUGUUAACCGCUUAUAAAGCUAACACGAGGAAGUCCGGUAGAAACUACGAGUCUAACACGAAAGCAACUGUAAGUGUAUAAGAACAACAAUCACACAUACACGUCGAUAACUCUAUCCAGAGAAUAUACUUACAAUCUACAGUAAAGAUUUAAGUACAACAUUGAUAAAGACGGAACGAUUCGACUCUAGUCCCUGACAACCAGUAAAGAUUUCUAGUCCUGGGUUGGUCGGAGUAAAGAUUUCUAGUCCUGGGUUGGUCGGAGUAAAGAUUUCUAGUCCUAAGUUGGUCGGUAGGAUUAUACUCACAGCUUAUAACCCUUCAAACUUCUUCAGAUUGUACGUAUUGUAAUCCUCGGGGGGGAGAGGGUCAGCUCUAAUCCGUUCCGUCUACCCUUCGUCGCCGUGGGGGAGAGGGAACUCGAGAUCUAGGUACCGUGGUCGUCGCUCCUUACACUGAUAACCGAGGCAACAGAGAAUUUUCCCUCUUACCUAUUACGUUUAAACCACUGAUUUGAACCUCUGUUCGAGGGGCAGAGGAGACGUACAUAGGGACAGAGACAAGAAUCCUCUGUACAACUUCUCACAGAAGGAGAACAACGAAACAUCCCGUGCAGAGUCUUAGGUGGUACAGUUCUUGACCGUCGGUUUCUAGAGGUACCUUGACUCACCGUAAAGAACCACUGAAAUGUUAAACUCAUAAGUCGAACUUCGGAACUUUAAAGGUCAGGAACAUAAGUUGAUUUACGACUUAAGUAAUGAAGUACUCAUACACACCAGAGAGAGGGAGACUAAGAUAUGGUACAGAAAGUCACAAAACACAAAAUCUAAGGGAUUAGAGGAAUAUAAACUCACAGUAAAUAAAUCGAGGAAGUUUUAAACAUCACGUUGAAGGAUUUACGGUACAGGUAUACAAUGGUUUCUAUCUUUUUUCUUUGACCUUACCCGCCGACGGUUGGAUCGUGG
rnacentral:rRNA from 1 species